GGGAACGCAGGGUCAGGACAAGGGACCACGGGGGGAAGGGGGAGUGAGGGGGGGAAGAAGAGAAAAUUACAAAUCCUACAUGCAUGUUCUAUACAUUUGUCCCAAAGAAAGGACCUCCUAAUGAAUUUUAGUGAGUCUUUUCCAGGUACUGUGAUCAUGUUGCGCAAAUACAAUCCAUCUGAAGCCAUAACAGAAACAAGGGUGGUUGUGCCAUUUCUGUGGCUAUUAUAGCAGCAUGGAAGGCAAACCCAUGAAAUGUCCUUUUCAUGAGAUAAUUUAAGAAGAUAACUUUCCUCAUAGUGGUCUUCAUAAAAACAUCAAUCAGGGAAUUUGAAUGUGGCCAAAUGCCUUCUUAUCGCCAUUUAUUCUUUGGACUUGACUCAUUAAUCAAUACUACAGAACAUGUGUCUUGGUCUGGUAAGAUUCCAUCUUACUCUUUAUCUAAAGUUUCAACGUUUGAGUUUUCUCAUAACACUUUAUCUGAUGUCACCAUACAGUUUGAACGUGGCUGUGAGGUUUGGAGGCUCUUUUCUGGUCUCCAACUUCCCACUUCAAGCAAUAGUUAGUAUGCUUCUAAGUAACUUCUCAUCUUCCAUGAAAACUAAUUCUUUGAUAUUAUAUUUACAAAAUCUUCCUUUCUGUAUGUAACUGAGGGAAAAAAAAAAGAUAAAAAGAUAUUUCCAUUCAGUCAUCUGAACAUGAAAUUUCCAGUGAAGAGUCUAACCCUCAGAACCAUAAUAUGUAAACACUGUACAUGCUAGAAUCUGCAGCAGCAAUUUUGACUUUCCCCCCCUAUUCUCUGUGCUCUGAAGUUUAUAAAUAGUAAUAACUGAUUGAUCCAGCUGCCCACCUAUUCUGCAGCAUUUCCAAUAAAGCUGCAGCGUCUCAGUCUUAACAUUAAGAAUCUUCAUGACUUUAGGUUGUAUGGCUGCCUUGUGUUGCUCCUGUCUUAGAGGAGUGCCCUGUUACUCAAGUUAGACGGUUCCUCACAGUUCCUUGUUUGAAAUUCUUCCAAAGGAGCUUGAAGACUCAAGGGGGAAAUUAUUUCCAAGCUGCUCUAAGAAAACUUCAUAUAUGACAUUAUGAUUGGGUUAUAAUGACAACGCACUUCAGAGCUGCAGUUUGAUUGCAAAUCUCAGAGGCAUAUUCUAUACAUUAAUAUCCCAAGUUUACAGUAGAUUAUUUCAGUUGCUUGAUUUUCUUUUUUUUUUUUUUUGAGGUUGCUUAUUUGGCAGAGGGCUUCUUGGCUUUUCUCCUGUUGCUUAAUGCCAGGGAUGGUGUGCUUAGGCUUCAAAGUCUCAACAGAAUUGCAGAUAUUGUGAAAAUCACAGGACUUUCAAAGAAUUGUGCAUGUAGGAACAGAAAUUCACCUAGUACUCCAUUACUGAGUUUUUACUUUGGUAAGCCUCUUGGAGCUACUCCCUCAGUGGAAGGCUUUUGACUAUAGAAGACCAACAACCUAAAGACUAAGUGGACCUGAUUGAAAUCUUGACUCAGAUGACAGCCUACUGUCUUUUCUCACAGGCAAAUGAGUGUUAAUUGAGUUUAAUGGAGAUACAACAAUUGCAAACGUUAAAAGAAUUCAAUUAUCUGGGACCCAUGGUUUCAUUUCUUUAUAUAUAAUUCUUUCUUCUCUGGCUAUGUGAGUCUGCCUGGGUUGGUCACUUUUUGGAUUACUGUUUUUUCUUUAGAACCAUGGUUGAGAUCAUUCACCUCAAGAUCUUCAUGAUUUCACGUGUUUUAAUUGAUCCUGACUGGUUUCUGUCAAGAUCCAAUAAUGAGACACAAAUGCCAUCUUAUGUUUGUGAACCAGAAAAAAAAAAAACCCCAUUUAGAUGAAACAUAGUGGUUUGGUUUUGGAAAUGCCUUGUAGUGAAUGUGUGCAUGACAUUGAAAGUAAUUAUCUACCUUCAGCAAAGAAAAAAUUUGCUUGGACAAAUUUACUCAGUUGAUCAGUAUAUCUAUGCUUUCUCUUCUUGUGACUUCAUGAACUCUUACAAUUGUAUUUCCUUUCAGCAAUUUUGUAAAUGAAUAUUUUUAUUUCUUUUAUAGUAAUAUGACUUGAGGUAAGCAUUAUGUCAAUGUGAUUGUUUACCCUUUAAGGCACCCCACGAUUAUAAAUGUAUAAAUUAUACAUUUAGCAGUGCAGUACUAGAACACAGAAUUUACUGCAUCAAUAUAGUUUUAAUUGGAGUGCUCCAAAAUAACAAAAUCAGCUUCCUCUCCAUGGAAUUUUUUGCCAUUUUUGCCUUCUUGGCACUGCUAAUAUAUUUUUAGUUGAUCAGGUGUUCACCUCUGUUCUGUUUGAGUAAGUAAUUAGCCAGCUGUGCAUUCCUUAAGGAAAAUAGGCUUUCUUAUCUUCAGCACAGGCUGGCUUGAAGAUAAAUGCAGAGAAUAGCUUUACUGUUGAUAGGAGUAAGCCAGGCAUGUUCCCAGUAUGUAGGAUGUUAGUGGGCUAAGUGCCUCAAAACCCAGGAUCCCCCAGCAUUUUAUAUGCUUUAUUGGUCUAAUAUUUUGUCAGCAGACUCUGUGGAGCAGGACACCUUAGUAGAUCUGGAUUCUGCAUCUUAGACUGCCUGUCCUGUUAUUUUCACAAGAGUUUCUGUUGCUCAGGGGGAAAUGAUUCAAUGUUCCAUUCAUUUCUACUGAUACCCUGAGGAUUUUAGCAAAGCAGGAAUGGAAGAACCUUUGAGUUGCAAAAAGAUGUAAAAAAUAGCAGAGAAACCAAUGUUUCUAAGCAAUCCAUUCCAAGAACAUACAAAACAGUUUGUUUAGUGUCCUAGAUAGAUGUUGUAUCUUUAAAUAAUGAAUAAAGCAGUACUUAAGUCCCAGUUUCCAUAGUGAAUAGAGAACUUUCCUUGGUAAUUCCUUGAAUUCCUUGAUAAAGAUGCUUUUGAGGAAAUGGCGACUGAAAAGACAAUUCAGAAAACCAAUUACUAUUUCCCCUACAGAGAAAAACAACAUAUAGAGGGUCUUCCUAUUUUUUUUUCUUAUUUAUUUAUUUUCCUUUACCAUUUUAAAGAACACCAAAGAGUAGAUCUUAAAACGUCCAGAAGAUGGGAUCAGUGCUUUACAACCUGGCACAUGCACUUAUCAAGGGCUGAGUGUUUUAGGAAUCCUGUUGCUCAGGACACGGGUUAGCAGUUCAGCACUAUUCCCAUUUUUGUACUGGGAAGAAUUAGCAGUUGAGUGACUGUAGACAUUUUGUCACUUUUCAAAGCCCUCACAAUAUGCCCAUUAAUACUAAUGGGAAUCUCCCACAUGCAUAAGAGAUGGAGGGUCUUCUCUGUAUGUUCAAAUAAGCAAUUCCUUGGUCAUUCAUUACUCUGUUUCCACUGAAACAGGAAAUUUCUAUUCACUAAAUGCUUACCUCAGUGAUAGUUUUGAAAGGAUUUAUUUGAUAAUUGGAAGGGGUGAGGUGAAGGGAAAGAAAAAAAGAAGGGAGAAAGAAAUAUUGGCAAAGGAGGAAAGGGGCAAAUAAAACCAGGAGGUAGUUUGGUUUGGUUUUUUUUUUUUUUUUUUUAAUCUAACUAUUUCCUAUGAUCUACUAUUCUUGCAAUUUUCCACUAAACUCAGAAAGUUUACAAUAACUUCCUCACAACAGUUUUAUCAAAAAUAGAAAGCAUGCUUCCAGCUAUAAUCAGCAUCCCUCAAACAGCUCAGCUUUACUCUUUGUGGGGAAAGAAUAAAAGGAAGACAGGGAGUAAAAUGGAAUUACAUUUCACAGCAGUAUUUGCUUGCCCAAAUCCAUACAGCUAUAGCUUAUGCACUCAGUAAAACAUUUUAAAAUAAAAAUGCAUCUAUAAUGGUAUGAAAUUUACUCCUGCUGGAAAUGUUCAAUUUAUGGUCAAUAUUUUUCCUUAAAUCUGGAAAGUGGCAGCAGCAGAAGGAUCCACUUACUCAGCAGACUUUUGGGAUUUUGCCUCUACAUACCUAAGGUCCACAUUUUCUCUUGACCAGGACUUGGUGUCAUUUAGAGCCCAAUGACUAGGCUAGGUAGAGACAGUCUUUUCAAGAACAUCUCUUUAGGGUCUGAUGUGACCAGUGUGCCUUUGCAUCUCAUGCCAUGGUACUGAGGAUACCCUGUCUGGGGCAAUAAUUUCAUAGAACUGCCACUCAGUGCUGUCUCUGGUGACACACACCAGUCUGGCCAUGUAAGGCUGGGACUCUGUGAGGUUGUUUCUGAUUCCCUGUGACUAGUAUUUAUUUAUGUUUAAAUAUAUGACAUUGUUAAUUAGUGUACUUUAUCAGUGCUUUGCAUGAGGGCAUAUCACAAAUACAAGUUGCAAGACUAAGGAAAUCCAUAUGUCCUGCCAGUUUAACAGAUCCCUUCUUUUCCCAUGGGAAUUUGAAAAUGUAGUCUCUGAGUAAUAUUUCUGAACAGCUGGUGGUCAUAGAAUCACAGCAAAUGAUUUGUGGAAGGUGUUACCUGUUAGAUAUCAUGGUAGAAAUGCCAGGAACCGAGUUAUGGUGCCUGACCUGCCCCUCCUCUCCCCAAAAACCUGUGUAUUGCUCAGGAAAAGAGCUUUCUGCUUCACUAUGUUGUCAGAUAAUACCUUCUCCUCAUUGUCAUGACAGUGGGCAAACAAGAGUGACCAUCUUCAUCCUCCACUGUGCUGACAAAGGGUAGUGGACACAAGGCUCAGUGCCUAUUAAUUAAUAAUGUCUUGUAAGAAAAAGUAGAUAGCAGCUUGGGCAGGUGGAAUAGGACGUUUCUGUGUCUCAGACAAAUGCUGAGUAUUUGUGUAAUGAGAAGAAGGUCCUGAGAGACCUCAUUAGAUGACACCAAACCAAAAAUUCCCUUGGGGAAUUUUUUCAUACCAUGUUCAUCAGCAGGAUGUGAUGGGCUGUGGAUUAAAGCCAGGGAGGAAAUGGCAGACCCACUUGAAAACUCAGAGGGCACAAACCUCGCUGGAGGUGUUGAACUGCUGGACUGCUGACUGCUGUAGGAUGAGUUUUUCUGUCUCCCUGUUGCAGCUGUGCCCUAUAUAAUAAGCAAUUAAUAAUAAUUUAGACAAGAAGAGGCACAGUGAUUAGAAUGCCUGGUAUAUUAGUCUGGGGUGAAGGACAGUGUCAACUUUUACCUCUGCCUGAUUCAUUACAGGGAUUGCAGUGUGGAUGUCCUGCAUUCCUAGGUAGUUGUUUCUCUACUCAUUUUGCUUGAUAGUUUUGAGCAAAUGUAGCUGGUUUGUUCCUUGGUAUAAAAUCUGGAAGUCUUGCAUUCCAUACAGAUAUUCAUGCUCAUGAAAGAAACGGAGAAUAUGACAUUAAGAAGUAUUACUCUCAUUCCAGUAUAUAAUAUCGAUACAAAUAUAAACUUUCUCAUACAAAGUCUGAGCUUACAAGUUUAAAGGGGAGUUUUAACUUCAUUUUUAUCUGCUUGCACAUGACUUGAAAGUCAAACAUUACAAAUAAAAAGUUGUAUCAAAUUUAAUUGAAUGCUCAAAUUAAACAGAAGAAAGUUUUCUCAAAAAAUGAGUUCUGGUCUAGGAAAAAGUAGUAGAGAAAGUAGAUAAACACUAAGAACAGUGAUCCAAACCCUCUGAAACAAAAAAUGAAAGCUGGUGUGUGAAAUGUUUUAUGGAAGGGUCUAGAUGUGUGUGUUCUCAGAGAUGGUCUGUUCCUUGGAAUAGUAGUAGCAUUUGGUAAAAUGUUUAAGGAGUUGGAAUCUGAGCAGUUCCCAAAUAAUCCUGCUGCAGAGGACAGCUUUAUCUAUAUUUAUGUGUUACUCAAGGGACACUGGUAAUGCUCUACUCUUUGGUGAUGUUUAUAAGCAUUUUAUUAAUAUUUUAGUUGCAGUUAAUGGAUGUUCCACCAUUUUUCCUCACAUGUUAAUAAGCAUUUGCUAAAUUUUUAAUUUCCAUGGCUGCAAACUGAUAAAUUGUUUCUAAUAAAACCCUUCAAAACCAUCCCUUUUUAUCUUUCACAAGCUUCAAAUAUAUUUUUAGACACAUUAAGGGAAAGAACUUUGCAAAAUUUCUGUAUUUUUCCAGUGGAACAUUUUCAAGUUGUUCAUCUUUUACAGCUCUUCUUUUAGGGGUGAAGUAAUAAUUUGUGCUUAUAGAACUCCCACAGGAAUUUUUUCACUGGCUUAGAUGAAUGGUCGAUGUAGCCCAGAGAUGCUCUUUAAAGUGGACACUUAAACCUGGCUGCUACUGAUGUGGAGACAACUAAGUUCACUCUCACAGAUGAGUUUUUCUGGAGAUAUUUCAUCUUUCAGACUCACCACUUUGUAUUCUCCUGGUCUGCUUCUCUCUGCCGUACCAGAUGCUCCACUGGUGGCUGCACACCCCCAUGUAUUUGCUGACUUUACAUUGUAAACAAGGCUGAAGAUAACCUAAAAGAAGAAUCCUGCGACUGAACCACCUUUGCAGUUUACUGUGGGCUUACUCUCUCCAUGACAAAGACCAGUUCCACACAAGGGAUCUGUAUAGAAUCCAGCAAUUCUGAAGAGACUUGUAAAAUACUUGCUGUGAUUUUUAAAAGUUUUAAUGCCUGAGGAGGCUUUGGUCUGCUUUGGCUAUAUACUACUACUUAAGGAAGGAAAAGAAUACAAAACCACACAGGGUAAUCUUUUCCUCCAGGAAUUUAAUUCUGUGCUAAUAGUAGCUUCUCAGGAGUAAUUCAGCCUUGAGUCUUAACUACUCAUAGCUUGGAGAAAAAUCCACUGAUAGUGUUGCCUCGGUCUUCUGAAAGUUUUUCUGAGCUCAAAAAUGCAAUGUAGCAAGUCUGCUGAAAAAUCAGAACUUGUCUGCAUGCUACAAGUUGGAAUUAAGAAAUGUUUAUGUAAUACUUUCCUCUGGUAGCUCUAUAACAACCACAAUUGAAAAUCUCCCAUAUAAAUAAAGGCAUUUAAAUAUACACAGUGAGUGCUAACUGGCCAGAUAACCUGUGUUUGAAGUGUGUGGAUACAUGCCUCAAAUGUGUGUGCAUACACACAAACCUGUGUGCACACAGAGUUAAUGAGUUUUCUUUCCUGGAACAAAGCUCUUUCAGCACAUGGAGUUCCUUGUGUCAAAGAGAAUUUUCAAGUACUAGUCGUUUAGAUAGCACUGACAUAUCAAAUAGUGUUGUUUGAUCCUGUCCAUUCUGAAAUCUUUAACAUCUAACACCAAAGUCAGCUUUCUUUCUUUCUGUGUGCAUCCUCCAUGUGUGUCCAUCCUUGUAAUGAACUUUGGCUGAGCUUCAGCACUUCGAGUUUUAGAAAAAAAAGCAUCCAAAGGCAGACAACAAAUCUGGUGAAGGAUCUAGAGAAAAAUCUUUUGAGGAGCAGAAAAGGGACCUGGGAUUGUUUAGCCUGGAAGAAAGGAGGCUCAGCGGAGACCUUAUCACUCUCUGUGACUACCUGAAGGGAGGUUGUAGCAACGUCAGGACUGGUCUCUUCUCCCUGGUAACAGGCAAUAGAACAAGAGCAAAAGGCCUCAAGUUGUACCAGGGGAGGUUUAAAUUGGAUAUUAAGAAAAAUUUAUUCAUCAAAAAAGUUAGGAAACUUUAGAAUGGGCUGUCCAGAAAAGUGGUUGAGUCACCACCCCCGAAGACACAUAGGUGUGGCACUUAGGGACAUGAUUUAGUGGUGAACUUGGCAGUCUUAGGUUGGACUCUGUGAUCUUGAAGGUGUUUUCCAACCUCGAUGAUUCUAUGAUGCUGUGAUUCUUUUCAAAUCAGUCACAUUUCCUGAGUUAGAGACAAAGCUACAGCAGAUCUGAGCUACGGCAGAUUCAAUUCCUCACCUUUACAGGUUACAUCAAGCCGCCUUUGCCUAAAUCCUGGGUUCCCUUGUCUUGAAGGCAUGGCAGAACACAUAUUUAUUUUGCUCCUGUAGCAACCAGUAAUUAUAAACUCUUACUUCUGCUGAGACUCUUGGGUUUGCCCCAGUCAAAUUGAGGGGACUCAAACUGAUGAGUUUGCAACAGAGAUUGGAAUAAUUUUGAUGGAACUGUUAAUAUAACUCAGAGGGUUCAACUUUUACAGGAAAAAUAGAGCAUUUUGCUGGAAUACUUUCAUGAUCUCCAUGGCAUUUUUCCUCAGGAACUGCAGUGGGUGGUUUCUAAUAUUGCUGUUGAUGAAGGCAUACACUACACAUAAUUGAAGGUAACAAGACAUGGUUUGCAUGGUGAGUUUCACUUACAUCCCCCACAGACCUUCAAGCUGUUCUGUGGAAGAACUAAGCUACGUAUCAUAGCUCUUGCUGCUGUUGCUCAUGAUACCUACUAUGGCGUAAGUACCACUAUGGAGGCCAAAAUGUGCAGGUACUUCAAGUGCAUAAGCUCAGCUUCCUACAAGGGUAGAUGCUGACCACUGCUAGUGAACAAAAUCAGGUGACUAAAAGUCACCUAAAUCACCUAAAUCACUUGUCAAAUGAAAUUUCUUUUGUUCAUGGAGCACAAAGACACCCAGAGCAUGCACUGCAAGUUCCUGUGGCCCUUUGGUCAUGACAAAAGUACAUGAAUAAUUUACUCACAUUUUAAUAGGACCAAUGCUUACUUAGCGCAGCAUCUGGGAGAUUCCUAUUUUCUCUAUUUUUUUAUCUGUUUAACCUGCUGAUAUGUCAAUUAAAUGGUCAAGCAUGGGAGAAAAAUGGAUUCCUUUCCCCAUGAAGACAUACUUCUUUAGAUAUGCUAGGAGUUUAUAGUAGCUUCUUUUCCACAUGCUAGAGAUGUUUAUUAAUUUGUUUCAUCUGGGCUCCUUCCUCUGUUCCUGCUUCCUUCUUACCCAUGGGAAAAGUGACUACCUUCUUGCCACUUCUCUAAUAUUCAUGUUUGCAUUACUGGAAGAAAAAAAAAUAUCAGUGUUUUCCUGAUCUUUCUUCUCUGCUGGAAAUAAAAAAAAGAAAAAUCUUGUUUGUUUUUAUUUUGACCCUUAUAUUUCUUUCCAUGGAAUAUUUCAAGAACAUAUUUUUGAUUCUCGAAAUGGAUGUGUUUGAAAUCCAGCUGGAAACUUUGUCAUAGCCUAACAAGUUGAUUCUGGUAUUACUUUAAAAUCUGUGAACACAAAUGUGUAAAGGUCAAGCUCCUUUCAUAGGAAUCCUGAUUUGUAUCUUAACACAUUUUGUGACACGUUAAUAGCUUAGAUUGUACUUUCCAGGUAACAGAAUUUUAGUGAAAUCCUAAUUUCAUUAUAUAUAUGAAAAAAUAUAUUCUUCUGUAUUUAUAUUAAAUUUCUUAUGCAAUUAAAACUCCCAAAAGAUUUGUUGGAUCUGUAGGCUAUAUUCUGCCUUUCAGUCAUGGACCUGGCAGAAUGAUAAAUUGUAUUGAAGAUUCAGGCAGAAUCUUAUGAGUGGAAGAAUAAAUGUUCAUAUUAAAACAUAUGGGCAAACAGGAUCUCCUUGAGUGUGUAGCAGCAGCAAUUUGGAUUUCUGAUACCCCAGUGCUCAUGCUGGGAGACAAAUUCUGUUGUCUGAGCUAUCUCUGUUAUGGAUCUUUUUUUCCUGCUUUUGACCUGAGGAAGGAAAUUUGAGAAUCUGAUUAAAAAAAAAAAAAAAAAAAAAAAAAAGGAAAAGUGAAAGAAAGUUCUAAAUUGUAGAGAAAAUGUGUGCAAUUUUGGGUGAUGGGAUUUGGUUUUACUCUGGAUUGUCUCUACCAAAAGGACUGAACACAUCAAGGGAUUUUCUCCCUGCAAGCAAAUACAACUCAAAUUGUCACAAAAGGUUUCAGGUGGUGUCCACAUAAGGAUCUGGUCCAAUAUAAAGUCUGAAUUUUCAGCUAGUAAGACUGAAAACAGCCAACUGCUGUACCACUCUACAAUGACUUGUAUCUUGAGAAGAGUAUGGGGUAAGUAUGAGCAAAUUGUAAUGAUGCUUUGCUUUCUUCUGAGCACUGUAUGGUCUGCUCAGUGUGCUGCUCAUCCACCUUGUGAAGAUUAGUCUGUGACUUUCUGCUAAGCUCUGAAAGUACACAACAGGCCUUAAAUCUAGGGUGAACUACACAGGUCUCCUCUCUCCCCUCUGACACACUCAGGCUAUGAGAGAACAUUUAACAAUCUCGUUUCACCAGAGCUAAUCACUUCUCUCUGCAGGGAAAGUCAGGCAAGUUUCUGUAGCUGUAAGUCAGCGUCAACACCAGCCAUCUGGCUCCUCAAUCUUUUCUUGUUUAAUGGCACUUGCCUUCCAUUAAUUGUUCCAAGGCCAUUUCUAUUUUCCAUUAGCCCCUGCUCUUAACCAGAUAGUUUGAAACAAAUAUGUUCAACAGUAUGAGUAAAUUUACAGGCAAACCAGGGCUGUAGGGAUGACUGAAACUAUCAAAGAAAAUGGUUGCCUUCACUCUGAUAUGGACAUUAAUAUUCCUGUUCUUUAGACAGGACAGUUUUUCUUGAUCUCUUUAGGCUCCUUGUGGCUGUGCUAUACUUCCCUGUCAUGAGGUUUCUACUUGUGUGCUACUCUGCAUUCUGCCCUUGUUUUUGAAUAUUAUCAGAAGCAAACAAAUCAGUGUCUAAACUUGCUUAAUUUUUACAGAAACCUCAAGUACCCUUUUCCAGGUAAUGAUGUCUAUAAACCACUAGUGCUUUUGCUGCAAUUGUUCCUUCAUAAACCAAAAUGCAGAUCAGCUGAAAACAUGACAUGGUUAAACUGAAGGUGACAAAAUUCUUGAUGUAGUAGCAGAUGGCUAAUCAGGCAAUAUCACUGCAGGAGCAAAUUAUGUGCUACUGGCAUCAGCACCUGUAGCUUUGUACCCAGGCUUUGAAUAAGAAAUGCCAAGCUUUGUGUGGCUUUAAGUUUUAUGUUCUGACUGUAAUCACAAGAUAGACAUCUGUGAGUACAGGUUCUGCUUUGAAAAUGCCAUUCAAUACUCAGGUAAAAAGAUUUGGGUGCAAAUUUUGUCAGUAGAGGUGUGAUUUCUUUUUUCUUUUAUUUUUGGAAACAGAAGCUGGACUGUAGGACUAGUAUGGGGAAUGGAGCAGGGAGAUUUUUGUGAAUAUGUCUAUUAUGGUAGUUAAUGAUUCAAAGAGAACUGAACUUGUUUGCAAUGGCUCGGAGAGUAUUCAUAUGGCCAUGACUCUGCAGCUAAGGAUGAACAUGGUCUAGCUAAAUAUGAGAGUGGCUCACAGUAGAAGGUCCAUCUAAGCCAGUAUUCUCCUCUUCAUCCUGAUCAGCCGCAGAUAUUUACAUAGGAAUAUGAAAAGUGAGAGGAAAGGAGAUAUUCUUGCAGGGAUAAGAUAAAAAGCUACACCACUUCUGUUGUUUACUUGCACUGCACUGUCCUGUGUUGCAUGAAUAUAAUAAUUAUUUUUGCUCAUUACUAUAUCCAUUUCUCUAUCUUCCAAGUUUUGCUUGUAUUGUGUUUAACACAAUAGGAAAAUACACAUCAGGAUCUGAUGAAAAUAUAAUUGUCUUUUGGAAGAGCUCUGUACCCUGUUUCUUCAUCUAGGUGUGCUGUGACUUUCUCUUCCGUUGUUAGUCCAGCUGGUAUACAGGAAUAUGCAUUGAGUUAUUUUCAACAGAGAAGACACAAAUUAAUUUUCUGCUACAAAAAUCCAAAUUGUUGAUGCAGAAAAGUCAUUUAAAUACUGUCCCCAUCUCAACCGUGGAUGAGCAUUGGUAACUGAAAACACAAAUAUGUCACUUUUACUCUCCUCAUUAAAAAUCCUGUUCUUUAGAAUACAUGUGGGUAAAGAAGGUAGGAUUUUCCCAAAGGAAAUAAAUCAAAACAUGGGCCAGAUCAAUCUUGAGCAUAUAGAAUCAUAGAGUGGUUUGGAAUGGAAGGGACACUGUAAUAUCAUCUAUUUCUGAACCCUUGCAAUGGCCAGGAGUAGAUUCCACUACCCCAGCUUGCUCAUAGCCUCAUCCAGCCUGGCCUUGCACUUGGCCUUGUUGAAUUUUGUGGGGUUCACACGAGCCCAACUCAAGCCUUUUGAAGUCCCUCUGAAUGCCCCUUCUCUGUAUGGAAUCAGCUCCACCACACAGCUUGUUGUCACCUGCAAACCUGCCAAGGAUGUCCUCAGUCUCAUUACCUGUGUUGGAGAUGAACAUAUCAAAUAGCACUGGUCCCACUGUGGACCCUUGAGGAACCCUGUCUAUAUCUAGUUUCCACCAAUACAUUGAGCAGCUGACUUUAACUCUUGGAUGAAGCCUUCCAGCUAAGUCCUUAUCCAUCUAACAGUCCAUCCAUCAAACCAUAUCUCUCCAAUUUAGAGGCAAGAUUGCUAUGGAUUGCCAUGUCUAAGGCCUUACAGAAGUCCACGUAGAUGGCAUUCACAGCUCCUCUUCCCCUGCCCGCCGAUGCUGCCAUUCCAUUGUUAGGCACAUUCACUCUUUGUGAAGCCCUGUUGGCUUUUUCUAAUCACCUUCCUGUCUUUGGUGUUUCUGUUCCAUGGUCUCACAGAGGGGAGACUGACAGGCUGGUAGUUAUUCUUUACUUUUUUUUGGAAAAUGAGUGUGGGGUUUUUUUGCUUCUCCGCUCACCAGGGACUUUGCCUGAUGGCUGUGACUUUUCAAAUAUGAGGGAGAGUGUUUUGGCAACUAUUUAAUCCUAUUUCCUCAGGGCCCUGGCACACAGGAGCUCAUGAACUUCAGGUUCCUCAGGUGGUCUCAAACUGAUAUUCUUCUAUGAUGGGAGACAAUGGGAUCAACAUUUCCUCUUCACAGCCAGGGUGAGAGAGAAAAAAUAUAUUAUAUUAAAAAUAAGCAGUAUUUCAUUUUAACACUCUCUGCUAAGUCAUUUUUUGCUCAUUACAUGCAAAUCAGAGCAUUCCUUCUUUAUCCUAUUCCUGGGAAACUCACUUUCUGUGUGUCUUGUAGGCUUGUACUAUAAGAACUGCAGUGCAUGAUGAUACAAAGACACAAUCACGAAUGGCAUUAAAAAGGACCUGAAGAGGCAAAUUUGUGGGUCAAAAUGAGAAAGGUGAAGUUAUUUUCAAUGGGACACAGAAAACUCUUCUUGGAGUCACUUUCAUGCCUUCUGAGAGGAUCAUUUGUGUUAUAGCUAUUGUUUCUCCAUUUAUCCAAACUGGGCUAGAAAAUACCCUUGAGUUGGAUGGGUCUGAGAAUAAUAAAAAAAGAAAAAAGGUAUUUAUAUAUUCUCCAUGUAUGUAUGUACCCACCCACAGACAAGGUUGUUCUUAUGGAUGUAGUCUCUCAUCUUCACGUGUCAUUGCAGAAGGGCUUGAAGUUUCAUUAUCAGAAUCUUAGAAAACCACCAACCAAACAAGGCAGUGCCCACUCCAGCUCUGAUCUCUUUUAACCACUGAUAUCCACAAUGACUUUUUGCACAUACUUGGAGUCUUGCAGUAUGUGUGACAUAGUUUGUAUUGCUGGGCACUCUGCUGCUGACCUGCCUAGUUUACCUAGGAACUGGGUAAACUAGGUGAACUGGGCUUAUAAUGAACAUAUUUCUUCCUUCAGGAAGGAUGAGGACAUCGGUGAUGGGUAACCUGUAUUUCUGAACUGACUGAGAUUCAUCUCGUUAUAACAUUCUGAGGGAUGAAAGAUUGCUCAUCUUAAAAAGAAGUGAUUCAUGGUGCUUUAGAAGCAACUUCUACUCAAAUUCCAUGCAUUUUCAGAAAACUGACACCCUCCUCAUCAUGUAUAGGUGUGAAAAUACAGAUGCAUGCUGAUACCAUGGCUCUUUCAUGAGCCAGAGCAACAGGUGAUUGCUCAUCCUCUUUUCAGGUUCUUCAUCUUUGUUCUAUUAGCAGGACACAUAUGGUGCUUCCAUGAAGGGUUUUCAUAUGGAAAGUAUUCUCAAUAAAUCUUCCAUUCUUCCUAGUAGCAUCAAGGUCUCAAUUUAAAUGCUGUGCUAGUUUUGGGCUUUGCUGUACAGAAAAGGGACAGGAUGUGAUAAGGGGUAACAGGUAUAUAAAUAUCUGAUGGAGAAGGCAAAGAAAGAUGGAGCAAGAGACUUCUAAGAGGUAUCCAGUGGCAGGACAAGAGGCAAUGGGCACAAACAGAAAUAUAGAAAAUUCUGUGUAAAGAAUAAAGUCUGUUAUCCUAAGACUGAUUGAACAUGAGGAGAAGCUGUGUAGAGAGAUAGUGCAGUCUCCAUCCUUGGAGAUCUUAAAAAAGGUAAUGGAUGGAGUCUUAGGCAACCUUCUUCAGCUGACCCUGCUCUGUGUAGGGGAGGUUGACUACAUGACCUCAGCAGUCCCUUCCCACCUCAGUUAUCCUUUGAUUCUGCAAAUGCUUUUGGGCACUCUGUUUUGCAAAUGCAUUAGGCUUGCAUUUAAUUAUCUCUGCCUGUCCUAUAUAUAUUUCUGUUUUUAUUAUAUUUGUGUGGUCACACAGGUAUGGUAGAUGGAUAUGUCUAUUCUGGUGAAUUUUCCAACUCUUUGUACCUACAAGUUACUUUUGAUGGUCCUUUGUUGUGACAAUAGAUAAUAGAGUUGUUUGAGGUCUGGAAAUACCUGAGUGCUUUUAGCUGCCUGUUUCACCACAAGGCUAUUGUAAAGUAGGAACAAAUAUCUUGUCUUUGGCAAAUUAGAAAUUGUUAAAAGGGUGAACAUGGUGGCUAUGCCCUGAGUUUGCUCUUUCUUUCUGAGUAAUACUGAUUGAAAGUGAUAAAUGGCAUAUGCAGCUGGAGGAAACUCUUUGUGAAUAAUGACAUUUUUCUCUUCCAUGAAUCAGUGUGUACUGUCCUGGUGCUCAGUAGGAACAAAUAUCAGGCUCCACAGUCUCAAAUGCAAUUCCAGGUUGUCUUCUUGUAAUAAUUCCUCUCCAGAUGUCAGCCUUUAGGGCAGAGAAUACCAUCAAUACAUGAAAGAACUGAAACUUUUGUCAUCUUCAAAUCCUUCAAAGGCAUUGAAUCAGUUGGUGUCAGCCCAGCCAGAUGACCAGAAUGGUGUGUUUGUUCAUCAGAGAUGGUUUCCAGCUUCAGCUGGUGCUAUAGACAGAGUUUGGAAACAGUGUUUACUUGUAGUUUGCAUUUCAAGUUAAGGAGGCACCAUGCUGGCUGGAAGCCAGCACACUUGUGAGGUUCUAAGGGUAUGAGAAAUGAGGGCUCAAAUUAAUUCCAGGAUGGAACUGCAGCACGUGGGGUUGUUGAGUCCUUGAAUAUCCAUAUUUCCACUCCUCUGCUUUGCUCUAUUUAAGGAGUUUGCUGUGCUCAGCAUUAUUUUGCAAGUACUGUGAAGGAAGCCUUUUAUCUGACCUUGCUUUUAGCAUGAGAGUGGAGGUAAACUGAGGUCCUUGUGCCAUUUGAUCUGCAUGACACUGCUCACUACCAGAGAAAACUACCUUGCAAAGAGGGUCUGUGAAGUACUUACAUCUCUUUCUUGACUUACAUCUUCUGUUAUAAAUGGCUUGUAGUCAUGGUUUCAUUACAAAUGAUAUAUAAGUCUUUCAGGAAAUGCAAACUGAAAUUGUUACCUCACAGUUUCCCCAUUAGAGAAAUUAAUCUAUAAUAUCAGAUUGACAGUAAGUAAAAUUAAUUUGUUGGAUGUGUAAAUUCAGUCCAAAAGUUCAUUUUUGAUCAAUUGAAAUAUCUCUAUUGAUUUCACUUUGGUUCACACUCUAUAAACUGCAGCACACUAAUCUAAACAUCAGGGCAUUCAGGUGUCUAUCUAGUUAAAGUAAAAGAAAACAAACUGCAUAGUGUCAUUGUACAUCACACAGUUAUUUGUUGCUGAUCUCAAAGGAACUGAUCUGCAUUUGCUCAAGAUUUUAUAUGUAAGACAGAAAAUAGAUCCACCAGAAGCUGCUGGCCUGAAAAAAAGCUAAUGAAAACUUGUAUACUCGAAUGAA